rnacentral:tRNA from 1 species
AGAUCUAUAACUCAGUCUGGUUAGAGUGUACGCCUGAUAAGCGUAAAGUCGUUGGUUCAAGUCCAAUUAGAUCUA